rnacentral:rRNA from 1 species
UACGUAGGUGGCAAGCGUUGUCCGGAUUUACUGGGCGUAAAGAGCGCGCAGGCGGUCGGAUCAGUCGAAUGUGAAAGCCCCCGGUUCAACUGGGGAGGGUCAUUCGAUACUGUCCGACUCGAAGGCAGGAGAGGGAAGCGGAAUUCCCGGUGUAGUGGUGAAAUGCGUAGAUAUCGGGAGGAACACCAGUGGCGAAGGCGGCUUUCUGGCCUGUUCUUGACGCUGAGGCGCGAAAGCUAGGGGAGCGAACGGG